rnacentral:rRNA from 1 species
CCCCUAGACGUUCUGGGCUGCACGCGCGCUACAAUAAUACGCACAGCGAGUAUCACCGAGCUCGAAAGGGCAAGGUAAACAAUAGAAAAGGUACUGUAAUGGUUAUAGAUCCUUGUAAUUAUUGAUCUUCAACGAGGAAUUCCUAGUAAGUAUGUGUCAUCAUCACGCACUGAUUACGUCCCUGCCCUUUGUACACACCGCCCGUCGCUCCUACCGAUUGAGUGAGCCGAUGAAACUGCCGGAUGUGGACUAUUCAUAGUCUGCAGAAGAUAUUUGAAUCGUAGCGCUUAGAGGAAGGAGAAGGCGUAACA